ACCGGUUGAUCCUGCCGGAGGGAACCCCUAUCGGGUUCAGACUAAGCCAUGCGAGUCGGCUGGGGGCACUUGCCCCUGGCGGCGCACGGCUCAGUAAUACGCGGUCACCCUACCCUGGGGACCGGGAUAACCUCGGGAAACUGAGGCUAAUCCCGGAUGGGUGUAGGGUGCUGAAAUGCCCCUACGCCGAAAGUAGGCGGG
rnacentral:rRNA from 1 species